UGGAACUCGCUCUUGUAGACCAGG
rnacentral:piRNA from 1 species